rfam:TPA: Bos taurus chromosome 28, whole genome shotgun sequence.
UCCCUGGUGGCUCAGACUGUAAAGCAUCUGCCUGCAAUGCAGGAGACCCAGGUUCAAUCCCUGGGUUGGGAA